GCCCCUGUUGUCUAAUGGUUAUGACGUCAGACUUCUACGUUCGUGUUUCGGAUUAUCUGGAGGCUGCGGGUUCGAGUCCCGCCAGGGGUU